UUUAACAAUGUUCCAAAAGGAGAAAUAAGGUAUAGCAUCUCACUACAAAUCCUCCAUCUCAAAACAUGGGGCCUGGAGUGGCCCCCCAAGACCCUACCCCUAAAACAAACUGGCUGUGGAUAUGGUGACAGAUUAGAAAGUUAAACCCUUCACCUCCAUGAAAGAAUCUGGAAUGGAGGCCAGAAACCUGGUCCACAUAUUCCUCUUGGAUCAUGAAGGCAGCUAAGUUGGCAGUGUAGCUGGCCAGGAAGAUGACAGCAAAGAAGGCCCACACUGACACCAUGAUCUUGGAGGUGGUCCCCUUUGGGUUCUGCACAGCAAACCCAUCAUUUACCUAAGAAGGCAGAAGGUGAGACAGUCCCAUUGCUGCGUGACACCAUGACACUGAUGCCUGUCUCUAUGAAGGGCACAGAGAAGUCGACCACCUCCGAUCGUUCCUCAUUGAUGAUGGCUACAGAGGAGUUUGAUGACUUGCCCAAGCUCCCACGGUAAGUGACUUGAAGCUGAGCAGUCUGACUCCAGAGCUUGGACUCCUACCCACCACUCUGCACUGCUUCUCUGACAAUGAAGGAGUAAGACAUGUUCCUUUUCCUCCAAGGACAGUCUAGAGGGAAAAGACACUAUCCAUCGACAAUAAUAGGCUUUGGUAAUUACUCUAAUAUCCACUAUCCAUUGACAAGUUAGGCUUUGGUAAUUACUGUAAUAAAAGAUAUAAAUAAAGUACUCCGGCAUUCA
rnacentral:lncRNA from 1 species